rnacentral:lncRNA from 1 species
UAUCAUACCAUCAUAUCAUAAUAUACUAAAAGGUGAAAGAGGAAAAGAAUUCUGCAAGCACACCUCGUGAGAAUUGUUGAAUCUGUGCUCCUCCAAAUCACUAUUUAACUCAAAAUCUGAAGCUACUUCGACAGAUGAAUCCGCUUCGGCACAAUCUUUCUUGGAGCAAGUACUACAUCUUGAACUUUGCCAUUUUUUUUCCAGCUCAAAAUAUCUCAUCUUUUCCUGCCUAAUUUCUUCUCGAAGAAUUUGAUUUUCAUUCUCUGCACUCUUAUUUUAAAACCAACAUCAAAAAAAUAUCUUUAUUAUGUUCAGGUUCAGCUGAUAUCAAAUUGAUGUUUUCCAUAUGAAAGCAAAAGUUCAGAAACAGUACAAUAAUGAAAUUAUAGACUUGAAACAAAUCAAAUACCUCUAAAUAAAAAUGAUUACCUUUAGUUUAUCUCUAUACUGCUUCAAGGUUUUCCAUAUGGCUUUAGAAAAAUUUUGCAUAAUCAAAUGGUUUCUUUCAAUCCCAGCCAAUUCUGUACGGCUAGACUUUGUGGCUUUACCUUUGGGAUGACCGGAAAGUUCUGAUAGAGAUUUUUAAAAAAAUGCAAUUAAUAAGCUGAACCAAACCAGCAGCUCUGAAACAAGCUAGACAACUAACACAACUGACAGAAAAAAUGAAAUAGAUCACCGAUAAAGCUGGAAUUUAACAACCUUCAUGAGCAAGCAGGUUUUCCUUGGGAUGUCUCUUUCCUUCAUUCUGAAACCAUAGAUUGUCGACCAAGACAAUAAGUACUCAGUAAUAAGAUGUGAACAAAACUUGCAGUGCAACAUUUCAAAUAUGCAGUGGGAGACAAAGCAAAGCUAACUUGUUGUUGCUAUGUCCCGUUUAUUACUAACGUUUACAUUCUUUUUCAUUUUUAUCUAUCAAAGGUCUCAAUAGAUAUAAAUAAAAAGAAAAGGCGGCAUUGUGAUGUUCCAAAUGACAUGGCAGCCAAAGAAACAAAUAACUGCUGUCUAAAAAAAUAUAGAACGCGUAAAUACUAAAGAUAGAGCAGAAACAUUUUGAUUGAACGGCAGCUAUUAAAGAACCAGUAAAGGGAAAAAAACAACAGAGGGAAGUGAUAUCAAGAAAAUAUCACUCAUUUAAGACAAUCUCAACAUCCAAAAAAGAUAAGCAAAUUACCACACAUGCUUCAGGAGCACUAUAUUUUGUUCUUUUCUGCUCCUCAAAUGUACAUAACGUUUGCAAUUGUCUCUUGUUGGUGUUGGAUGGUUCCACGACAUUGUUGAACCUAAAGAAAAAGACAUCAAUUCAGAAUCACACGUAAAAGAAGUUCUAAGCUUAAACAAAUAGAAUAAAGGUAAGUAACUUGAUUUUCAUAUAAGGUGAAGCUUGUCUGAGAAGGAAAGUUGUAUCAAGAUAAUCUUCUUCUCCUGCUUUCACAGUUAAAAUCUACACAUAAAACAAAAAAAAAAGUAUUGAUAAAGAAAUACGGAGGCUCGCUCUUCAUUAAGCACACCCACUAGCUUUCACAAGAGAUUAACAACAUUAACAGUGCCCAACAAAGUUAACAAUAACCAUUGUUCAAAGCAAAGAUGCAAAUAAGGAAAGUUUAAGAUGCUGUAUGUAGAUCUGUUCCACAAAUCAAAUAUUGAAAUAAGAACAGAAUACCAAGGUCAUUCGCUUCUUUCCUUCCAGGUAAUCUCGAAGGUACUUGGUCAACUGUGUGGAAAUAAAAUAAACUGUCAGUUAUGCUAGAGAAAAUAAUUACCAGAAAAACAGAAAGAUAAAUAGCAAUUUUUGUUUUGCAAUACUUGAUUGGGAACAUGGUUUUAGAAUGAGGAAUACUCUUGAAACAUUACCAAAGAGUUCUGGAAAUGCUUCUGCAGUGGCUUCUUUGGAUUCCUUUGGUGUUCAAACAAUGACUAAAAAUGAAACAAGGAUACGUUAUCGGUAAAUAUUUUAUAAAAAAUAUAUGAAACAGGGGAACAAACCAAAAAACGGGUUAAAACAUCCAAGCUGUGAAGAUCUCAAAACCUCAUGAGACAAACAUAGAACCCAUCAGUUCUCUAUUCAUAAAACACAAUAGGGCCAUUCAAAACGCAACAUCGUGAUCUCAAGCCAGCUUAGAAAACUGUAAAUGUACUCUCUUUUAACCCUAACUGGACCUUGGAUUUGUUCCCUAAGGCCUAAAGUUUAUUUACGUUGUCACAUACCUCAAUGCCUGAAUACAAGAUGUAUAUCCCAUUUGAACUAAUUGCAUAUAGAAAAUAUAAAAUACCUUUUAGCAUUUGGAGGAAGAGAUAAGGGAUUCACACAAGUAAGGACACGUACUCUUAGGCACAAGCCAAAAACCAUUGAUGUAUUAUUGAUGAAGUUAGCUUCAAGUAAUCUUGUACCCUGCAAAAUAUAUGCCUUAAGAUGAAAGGUAAAUUAUAAGGUUCCUAUCAUCUUCUUUUAUUUCUCAACCUUUGAAAAUACAGAUCAGACGAAUAGAAUAAUACAAAUAUUUCCUUCUAAGAAGAAUCAUCUUGUUUUAUUCUAACAAGAAACGUCUUAUUUCAUUAAUAUUUCCUUCUAACAAGAAUUGUCAAAUUUUAUACAUUUUAAACUAGCAUAUUAUCAUUUUUUAAUUCAAGAAUCAUCUUAUAUUGUUGCCAGACUUAUUAUCUAUUGGACUACUAAGUUCUACAACUACAAUAUGAAAUGAAAAAAUGACAAUCACUAUUAAAUUAAAGGUGAAAUGCAGAACCUAAAUCCAGACACCAAAAAAAUAUAGGACCUGAUUCCCGGUUCUUUUUUCUUUUUCAGCUCCAGCAAGAUCAGCAAUGGUCAAGAUGGCACAGUUCGAAGCAUCUUCAACUUCUUCUUGGUUAGCAACUCUACGCACAUUAAUGAUGCAUUGGGACCGGCUGCAAGGAUAAACAACAAAAUCAUAAGAGCAUUAUCUACUUUCCUUUACAACAAGAUGCAGAUAUAAUGCAUUAAGAAAAUUGCAUGAAAGAAUGACCAUUUUCUAAAACCCGAUAACUUUUAUCCAGUGGCAUUCAAAAUGCAUUUGUCUGUCACAAUCACAGUGCGUUUUGCACAUGUGUAGGUAGCUCCUGGCUUAAUUCGUUUCAGUUACUUGGCACUUGUUUGAGAACACUUUUAAAAACAUCAACUGUAUUUUUAAACAAAGAAAACAUUGUAAACAUGUUCAUACGGGUUUGUUUAGUACCACAAAUGUGGGGAAGAAAUUUGAACUUCCUACCUUAGUGAAAGGAGUGUGCCUUUACCACUAAACUAUGAUCAUUUUGUUUAAGUAAAUGUUUCUUCGAUGUUUUUUCUUGAUUUCAGUUCCUUGUGUUGUUUUAUUUUUAAAAUAAAU